rnacentral:lncRNA from 1 species
ACAGAAGACGAAGAGCUGGAAUAGAGCUCGCCUCGGCUCUGCUGGCCUUGGCUGCAGCUCUUCCAGAAACCCGGGGCGCCCACAGAAGAAUCUCUUACCUGGCUCUCUCUUCAGGGAUGACAUCAUCGGCUCACACCAGUCUUCCAGGACCACCUUCUGGAUGCCAAGGCUGCUGCUCGAGUACCUGCUGUGCACCUCUACCUCCUGGUACCCCAGCCACUCCCUCAAGUUGCCUGCAUGUUAUAUGGCCUAGCCAAGGAGCACGGAUUCCAGGAACCCACUACCAUACAGAGCAACUCCUUGUGGACCCCCCUGGGAUCAGGACAGCGAGGGACAAGCGACAAAGAGGAUCAUCAGUGGCCAGCUAGUUUCUCUGGGGUUCAAACCUUGAACCAGUGCCCUAGUGAGGGGGCACUGGCCAUGGCCCUUGACCUUUGCUCUGCUUGUGUCUUGAGUCUGAGCCCUUUCCUGUACAUCUGUGCUCGUGUUCAUCUGCUAGUGAACUGGAGUGCUGCCCUCCCCGAGGAGGGUCGUCCCUUGUGACUGAUCAUGCUGUCCUAACAAUGUCCUGAGCAAAAGGGUCCCUUUGGGAACCUCUCAGGAGGGGGACCCGGGUCAGGGGCGACCAGCAUCUUGCUGGCAACUCCGUGGGUGGGGUGGGGUGGGGUGCUUCCUUCUGGAAUGAGCACGUGGCUGACCCCCCAAGGCAUGUCCCCUCCCCCUCCUCCACCCACCUUCUCGGAGAUGUCCCUUUUGGGGUAGUGGGGACAUUAGGAGCAACCUCCUAGGGUUGUUGUGAGAAUUAAAUGAACUGCAGCAGCCUGAGGCAGGGCUGGGCAGAGACCUCAGCACAUGUUUGUUGAAAGGUUUGCAGGUGGAUCUAGUCCUCCCGUUCAUGGCUCAUGUGUCUCAACCAUUCUCUCGCAGACUCCUGCAGCCCCUAUGCCCAGGGCUCUCCUUGCGCCAGAGGUAGGUGGGAAAGAGAACUGGGAGAGCCCGGACUCACUCAUGAGAUUGAACUUAAAUUCACACGGAGGACACUUGGACUCUUGCCACAUUAGCCCCGGCUUCUCGAGGCCUGUCUACACUCGCUGCUUUCCUUCCUCACCUCCAAUUUCCCCUCCAACCCACUGCUUCCUGACUCGCUCUUCUCCAUCGAACGGCUCUCGCUCAGCUGGCAUUGCCCACCGGCCAUGCCGGCUGAAGAAAAGAAGACUGAGGACCCCAGGAUGCCCAGCGCGAGGACCCCAGGAAGCCCAGCGCGAGGACUCCACCCACGACGCCCAGCGCGAGGACUUCACGCACAACACGUUGCAACCCUCCUGGAUUAGGCCAAAGCCAUCAUCUGGAAUCCUGCGUGGGACCCUGGACACACGGACACAGACACCUGCCCCCAGGACCCUCCAACUGUAAAUCGAUUGGAAGCGCCCUUGUGAGCUGGGGCCUUCAAAGGGCUGAGGAGAAAAUGCAGGCCGAGAGACCAGCUUCUCAAAUAGGCUUCAAGCCUCCAUGACCUGAGCUCACCCCCUGGAAAUGUCUGGAAAACAUAAUGGGCAGGUUUUCUGUCUUCAAAGUUUCCAUCAAAACCUCUUCAAGUUCUUUAUUGUUUAGGACUGAGACACUUGGGGACAGUAAUGGGGACUUUCUUUUGUAUCUGUCUUGAAAGGCCAAAAUAUUUUUAUAUUGCUGUAGACAAAGCCACCUAUUUACAAAUGGACUCUUGUUCCGUCGUUUCCCACCAGGAAGACCGUACUAUGUUUGUGUCUCUAUGUAUUCUGGGGUCUUGAAACAGGUUUCUCAUGGGGAUGGCCAUUCACUAGAGCCCAGAGGGGCAGAAGGGGAAGUGUCUACCCUGCCAAGGGGGUCUGGGGAAGGAGGGGGGCUAGUCUCAGAUUUGCUCCUUGUAUGUCUAGGGUAAACCCUGGGAGAAUCUGGUGGUAAAAGAACAUAUGCUGUGUUUGCCCCACA